rnacentral:rRNA from 1 species
UACGUAGGGGGCAAGCGUUGUCCGGAAUCAUUAGGCGUAAAGAGCGUGUAGGCGGCCCGGUAAGUCCGCUGUGAAAGUCCAGGGCUCAACCCUGGGAUGCCGGUGGAUACUGUCGGGCUCGAGUCCGGAAGAGGAGUGUGGAAUUCCUGGUGUAGCGGUGAAAUGCGCAGAUAUCAGGAAGAACACCCGUGGCGAAGGCGGCUCUCUGGGACGGUACUGACGCUGAGACGCGAAAGCGUGGGGAGCGAACAGG